rnacentral:rRNA from 1 species
AUGGAGGGCCCGCACCCGCUGCCGGAGCCGGAGGCGGGGACGGGGACGGAGGAGCCGGUGACCGGCCGGCGGUGCGGCCGCCACCCGGACCAGCCCCUCAACGGCGUCUGCUCCGCCUGCCUCGUCGAGCGCCUCUCCUCCGUCCGCAGCCCCGAGAUCGUCGAGGUCGCCUCCUCCUCCUCCCGCGACCCCGACGCCCGCUCCCUCCCCGUCCCCGUCCCCGCCUCCGGCGACCAAGAAGAUCAGGGCAAGCUGCGGAGGACGCUCAUGCUGCUCUUCCAGAUGGACGACUCCGGCGCCGCCGCCGACCGCCCGGGCGCCAACCGUCCGCCCGACGCCAAAGAUCCCGGAGCGUCAGAGGCGGACCACCCCGGAGGCGGCGGCAGGAAGUGGAUGGGCGCCUCCUGGCUCAGGGCGAUCCUGCCCAGGCGGGGGGCGCGGCGGCGCGGGACCAAGGAGGAGGAGGAGGAGCCCUCGCGCCCGUCUGGGGCGGUGGAUCCCCAUCCUGGCGAUGCCAGCGGCGGGCCGUCGCCGCCGCUGGUGGAGCGGAGGGCCAGCUUCCGCCGCUCCUGCGAGUGGAUGAUCUGCCGGGAGCCGCCCAGAGGCUCCUCCCUGGACCCGCCCCGCCACUCCUGGGACGGCUCCAUGGUGGGCAGGGCCUUCGCCUGCUCCUUCGCGUGCCUAGACGAGCCGUCUGAUGGCGUCACCAGGGUCAGGCAGGGCAAUGCAGAGGAAUCGGCGAGGGAGCGCCCUGCUGCCGAGGUUGCAGCAGAGAGCAGGAAUGGGGGGCAUUCUGCCGAUGUGGGCGGCGAGGGGCCGAGGUUCAGAGGAAGGAGGAGUUGCAGUGACGCCGGCCCGGAGAUAACUGUGGCGGCCUCAGGUGUCCGGCGCCGGAGGUCCAACAGGUGGAGCAGGGUGUGGGAUCGCAGCAUCACGAGUCCACUAAAAGAAUUCGUGAGGAAGGGGGAGCAUGCUCUUGACCGGUCCUUCUCGGAGUCGAGGAGGGAAACCCGGAGGUGUAAAAAUGGGGAGAUGACAGACAUCGAAAAUGGCGAAAUUCAGCAUGGCCGCAACGGGUCGGUACUUCCAGGCAGAGCAAGCCAGGGCUCAAGCAGAAGCUCCCAAGCUGCCGUGGCUAACGGGGACGCGCAGAAUUUCCGCGUGGAUUGGCUUAAGAACAAGGAAUGCAGGAUCGGCAGGAGCAGGAGCGUCCAUUACACCUCUCCUGGGAACUUUGAUAAUGGCAUGCUGCGGUUUUACCUGACGCCGAUGAGGAGCAACAGAGCCGCAAACAGGGGGAGGAGGAGAAGCUCGCGCUUGUUUGGAAGAGGGCUUUUUGGUUUCGUUUGA